CCUACGGGAGGCAGCAGUCGAGAAUCAUUCACAAUGGGGGAAACCCUGAUGGUGCGACGCCGCGUGGGGGAAUGAAGGUCUUCGGAUUGUACACCCCUGUCAUGUGGGAGCAAAUUAAAAAGAUAGUACCACAAGAGGAAGAGACGGCUAACUCUGUGCCAGCAGCCGCGGUAAUACAGAGGUCUCAAGCGUUGUUCGGAAUCACUGGGCGUAAAGCGUGCGUAGGCUGUUUCGUAAGUCGUGUGUGAAAGGCGCGGGCUCAACCCGCGGACGGCACAUGAUACUACGAGACUAGAGUAAUGGAGGGGGAACCGGAAUGCUGGGUGUAGCAGUGAAAUGCGUAGAUAUCGAGAGGAACACUCGUGGCGAAGGCGGGUUCCUGGACAUUAACGGACGCUGAGGCACGAAGGCCAGGGGAGCGAAAGGGAUUAGAUACCCCUGUAGUC
rnacentral:rRNA from 1 species